AACCUCUGCAAUAGGCGAAAGCUUGACAGGGUUACUCUGAGUGAUUUCCGUUAAGGAGAUCUUUUGGCACCUUGGUGCAGAAUAAGGGGUGGCAAGCUGGUGUCAGCCGCCGCGGUAAUACCAGCCCCCGGAGUGGUCGGGACGUUUAUGGGCCUAAAGCAUCCGUAGCCGGUUCUACAAGUCUUCCGUUAAAUCCACCUGCUUAACAGAUGGGCUGCGGAAGAUACUAUAGAGCUAGGAGGCGGAGAGGCAAGCGGUACUCGAUGGGUAGGGUAAAAUCCGGUUGAUCCAUUGAAGACCACC
rnacentral:rRNA from 1 species